GACGAACGCUGGCGGCGCGCCUAACACAUGCAAGUCGAACGAGCGAGCGAGAGCUUGCUUUCUUUAGCGAGUGGCGAACGGGUGAGUAACGCGUGAGGAACCUGCCUCAAAGAGGCGGACAACAGUUGGAAACGACUGCUAAUACCGCAUAAGCCCCCGCUGCCGCAUGGCACAGAGGGAAAAGGAGCAAUCCGCUUUAAGAUUGCCUCGCUUCCGAUUAGCUAGUUGGUGAGGUAACGGCCCACCAAGGCCACGAUAGGUAGCCGGACUGUGAGGUUGAACGGACACAUUGGGGCUGGGAAGCGGCGGAGAAUCCUACAGGAGGGAGCAGAGGGGAAUCUUGCAAUAUGGGGGGAGUCAUGAAGCAGCGACGCUGCGUAGAGGAAGAAGGUCUUAGGAUUGUAAAGUCCGGUUGUAGGGGAAGAUAAUGACGGUACCCAACAAGGAAGUGACGGCUAACUACGUG
rnacentral:rRNA from 1 species